GCGUAGCUCAGUUGGUAGAGCAUCAGCUUCCCAAGCUGAGGGUCGCCGGUUCGAGCCCGGUCGCCCGCUUCA
rnacentral:tRNA from 1 species